rnacentral:rRNA from 1 species
CCUACGGUGGGCUGCAGUGGGGAAUAUUGGACAAUGGGCGAAAGCCUGAUCCAGCCAUGCCGCGUGUGUGAAGAAGGCCUUCGGGUUGUAAAGCACUUUCAGUGGGGAAGAAAGCCUUGGGGCUAAUACCCUCGAGGAAGGACAUCACCCACAGAAGAAGCACCGGCUAACUCCGUGCCAGCAGCCGCGGUAAUACGGAGGGUGCGAGCGUUAAUCGGAAUUACUGGGCGUAAAGCGCGCGUAGGCGGUCUGAUAAGCCGGUUGUGAAAGCCCCGGGCUCAACCUGGGAACGGCAUCCGGAACUGUCAGGCUAGAGUGCAGGAGAGGAAGGUAGAAUUCCCGGUGUAGCAGUGAAAUGCGUAGAGAUCGGGAGGAAUACCAGUGGCGAAGGCGGCCUUCUGGACUGACACUGACGCUGAGGUGCGAAAGCGUGGGUAGCAAACAGGAUUAGAUACCCCGGUAGUC